UGUAUGUGUGUGUGUGGGAGGGGCAAUGUGUGUGUGUGAUUAUAAAAAAGCCCCCCUACCCUUCUUAUCACACACACACACACAUUGCCCCCCCCACACACAUACACU